rnacentral:lncRNA from 1 species
GGACAAUCUGCAUGGUUAGUAUAUUUAAAAAAAAAAAAGCCACAUGUAGAACUAGUCAGCUGGAACCUAAAUAGGGAGAAAACAAGCUAAAAGUUGAAGCAGAAGUUAGAUUUCUAUUUGGCUCAAAAGUUCCAGUGUCCAGAAAUGCAAGAAGCUUCAAAUAUAGUAAUAUCUUGUUAUAUGCUAUAAAGAAUAAAGAUAGAAGCAAUUUUGAAUACGAUAAAGUUAACCAUAAAUCAUCUCAUCCCAUCUGCUUCCAAAAGAGCCAAAAGGAAACCAAAUAAAAGAACAAGGAAGAUAUUCUGAA